rnacentral:tRNA from 5 species
GGAGGGGUGCCCCGAACUGGCUAAGGGACCGGUCUCGAAAACCGGCGGGGCGCAAGCCCCUUGUGGGUUCGAGUCCCACCCCCUCCGCCA